rnacentral:lncRNA from 1 species
AUGGCAGGGCCAAAAUUUAAACAAGAUCUGAAGGACCUUAAAGAUACUAAGGGUAUGGCAAGGAGAGGCUCCCAAACAGAAGACCUAACCUUAAAAGAUAUUCUCAAAGAGAUUCAGAAAAUUUCGGAUAAACAGGACGCGAACAUGGAAGAUCAAAGAAAAUUCCAGAAAGAAAUGCACCAAGAGAUGAGGGAAAUGAAAAGAGAAAUAAAGGAAGACAUCGUCCAGAUAAAAGAGGAAAUGAAAGAGAUGCACGAAGAAAUUCGUGAACUGAAAAAAGCAAGAGGGACCAUGGAAAAGAUGCAAAAUAAAACCCAAAAGCAGGUGGAGGACUGCCAAAAUAAAAGUUUAAAAUUAGAAAAAAUGCAAGAAUUAAUGGACUUGAAAGAGAUGGAAUUUCAACUUAGAUUCAGGAACAUACAAGAGGAAUCUAAUGAAAAUAUAAGACAAAUAAUAAUACAAAUUACUGCAAAAAUAUUACAACGUCCAGAACAGGAAAUGGAAACUGACCUGGACAGAAUCUACAGAAUUCAAACCAACUAUUCCAAACGCAAUAAAGUGGCGAGAGAUGUCAUAGUACACUUUGUAAAAAAGAGAGUUAGGGAUGAAAUACUGAUGGCCAACAGUCUACAAUCAAGUUACUAUAAGAAUGAUAAAAUCACGAUUUUAAAAGAAAUUCCUUUACCAAUAUUGAACAAAAGGAGGAAUUAUUUCUUCCUUACAGAGGAACUAAAAAAACGUAAAAUCAGAUUCCGAUGGGAAAAGGCGGAAGGCGUCAUGGUUUCGUUUAACAACGAGAAAUACUGGCUCACAUCACUGGACAAGGCAAAGGAAUUCUACAAAAAUCUGAUGGAGGACAAAGAUAUGGAGCCUCAAGAGACACCCCUACCACAAACGAAAAGGAAAAGAUUUCUCUCACCCUUAGGUACAGAAUUGAUAACAGUGAAGAAAGCAACGGAACCAAGUGUAGCAGUGGGGAAAUCGGACACGAUUUCAGAAGAGGUGGAUGAGACGGCAGUCGAAGAAGAAUUGGGAAUUAGAACU